GUGAGGAAUAUUGCGCAAUGGAGGUAACUCUGACGCAGCCAUGCCGCGUGCAGGAAGAAGGCGCUACGCGUUGUAAACUGCUUUUAACCGGGAAGAAACCCCAGGACGUGUCCUGGGUUGACGGUACCGGAGGAAUAAGCACCGGCUAACUUCGUGCCAGCAGCCGCGGUAAUACGAAGGGUGCAAGCGUUAUCCGGAUUCAUUGGGUUUAAAGGGUGCGUAGGCGGAGCGUUAAGUCAGUGGUGAAAUCCUGCAGCUUAACUGUAGACUUGCCAUUGAUACUGGCGCUCUUGAGUGCGCUUGAAGUGGGCGGAAUGUGCCGUGUAGCGGUGAAAUGCUUAGAUAUGGCACAGAACACCAAUUGCGAAGGCAGCUCACUAAGGCGAUACUGACGCUGAGGCACGAAAGCGUGGGGAUCGAACAGGAUUAGAUACCCCAGUAGUCC
rnacentral:rRNA from 1 species